rnacentral:rRNA from 1 species
CUGGCGACCGGCGCACGGGUGAGUAACACGUAUCCAACCUGCCGAUAACUCGGGGAUAGCCUUUCGAAAGAAAGAUUAAUACCCGAUGGCAUAAUUAGACCGCAUGGUCUUAUUAUUAAAGAAUUUCGGUUAUCGAUGGGGAUGCGUUCCAUUAGGCAGUUGGUGAGGUAACGGCUCACCAAGCCUUCGAUGGAUAGGGGUUCUGAGAGGAAGGUCCCCCACAUUGGAACUGAGACACGGUCCAA